AACGGAAGAUGGGAGCUUGCUCCCUGAUGUCAGCGGCGGACGGGUGAGUAACACGUGGGUAACCUGCCUGUAAGACUGGGAUAACUCCGGGAAACCGGGGCUAAUACCGGAUGCUUGAUUGAACCGCAUGGUUCAAUUAUAAAAGGUGGCUUUUAGCUACCACUUACAGAUGGACCCGCGGCGCAUUAGCUAGUUGGUGAGGUAACGGCUCACCAAGGCAACGAUGCGUAGCCGACCUGAGAGGGUGAUCGGCCACACUGGGACUGAGACACGGCCCAAACUCCUACGGGAGGCAGCAGUAGGGAAUCUUCCGCAAUGGACGAAAGUCUGACGGAGCAACGCCGCGUGAGUGAUGAAGGUUUUCGGAUCGUAAAACUCUGUUGUUAGGGAAGAACAAGUACCGUUCGAAUAGGGCGGUACCUUGACGGUACCUAACCAGAAAGCCACGGCUAACUACGUGCCAGCAGCCGCGGUAAUACGUAGGUGGCAAGCGUUGUCCGGAAUUAUUGGGCGUAAAGCGCGCGCAGGCGGUUUCUUAAGUCUGAUGUGAAAGCCCCCGGCUCAACCGGGGAGGGUCAUUGGAAACUGGGGAACUUGAGUGCAGAAGAGGAGAGUGGAAUUCCACGUGUAGCGGUGAAAUGCGUAGAGAUGUGGAGGAACACCAGUGGCGAAGGCGACUCUCUGGUCUGUAACUGACGCUGAGGCGCGAAAGCGUGGGGAGCGAACAGGAUUAGAUACCCUGGUAGUCCACGCCGUAAACGAUGAGUGCUAAGUGUUAGAGGGUUUCCGCCCUUUAGUGCUGCAGCAAACGCAUUAAGCACUCCGCCUGGGGAGUACGGUCGCAAGACUGAAACUCAAAGGAAUUGACGGGGGCCCGCACAAGCGGUGGAGCAUGUGGUUUAAUUCGAAGCAACGCGAAGAACCUUACCAGGUCUUGACAUCCUCUGAAAACCCUAGAGAUAGGGCUUCCCCUUCGGGGGCAGAGUGACAGGUGGUGCAUGGUUGUCGUCAGCUCGUGUCGUGAGAUGUUGGGUUAAGUCCCGCAACGAGCGCAACCCUUG
rnacentral:rRNA from 1 species